AGAAAUUUUGAGGAGUUUUGUAAUGAGCAUCUUGAGCCUUCUCUAAGGAGAAAGAUAUUUCAGGAAAUUGGAAAGAAUUGGAGAAGAACAGUGGUAUUUCAGGGAAACCAGGAAAUGCCCUCUUAGAAUGUCCCCAGCACUCAGGUCUUCAUAGUGCCUACAGAAUGAUAGAAACAGUUUUGGGGCCAGAGUCCUGAGGGCAUACAAAGUUGACUGGGCUUCAUUCCAGAGAUAAAAAGGACUAUUUGAAAGAUGAAAGGAUUAGAAGUCAAUGAGUUUCCUUUCAUCAUGAAGAGAAAGGAGCCCAAAGUUUCCCAAGAAGAACCCAGCCAAUUCUGCACUGCUGCAGAACACAGGAUGCGGAGCAAUCUUGGCAGAAAAUCUCAAGAGGAAAGGAAGUGUCUUGAGGUUAAGCUCUUGUCUGCUUCCUAAUGUUAGCAGAUGCCUAUCUUGUGCCAGUCUCAGCAGAAGACAAUGGGAUACUGCAGACAAUCCAGUGUCUGCAAUCUGACUGUCAGAUGGAGACAGGAAUGGAACAAUAGAGUUUUUCAAAGAGGAACAGGAGCCGGUGUCUGAAUGGGUAACAGAAAGCUGGACCUUCACACCCCUGCAUGUGUCAACACUGGAGAUGAAGAAGUAGUCUGGGAAGUCACCACUCUCCCAACGCCACAGGCAAGAAGAGAAAGGUUGUGAUAUAAAGCUGGGGCUGCUUAGCAACCUGGAGCCUGGGAGUGAACUGUGAACUAUAAGGCACAGAGAGCCCAGGAGUUUGCUCUUUUGCCCUCAUCCCCAUUGUGUGAACAAUGUAUUCUCAGAGGUCCCCAGUGUGAAGAGUGUGUUUUCAGAGGUCUGCCCAGAGUGUAACUCAAACAGUCCACCACCAGCAUGGCAGAGUUGAUGGAGUCUGCAUGUGCACCAACAGUUGCUCCUGUUUUGAACAAUGAAGUCAUAACAACAACAGCAGCAGCAGCAGAGCAACAACAACAACAACGAAAAAACACGAGGAAAG
rnacentral:lncRNA from 1 species